GCUGUGAUGGCCGAGUGGUUAAGGCUUUGGACUUGAAAUCCAAUGGGGUUUCCCAGCAAGAGGUUCGAACCCUGCUGCAUGGCG
rnacentral:tRNA from 1 species